CACUCGAGGAUGACGAGGUUGACCGCCUCGUCGACUGGGUGAGGCGCCUCGGAUGAUCACGUGGUGGUGCACCGCUCUCGCCCGACCCUGGACCUGGGAGUGGAUCCCUUAUCCUGGAAUCUGGGCUGCGGCCAUCUUUCCUAUUGUGGCCUACGGCCGGUCGGUCCGUCGACAUGAGGGUCCCACCGACUGGAAAAGAGUUGCCCAAUUCAUAGCGGGGGUCAUCGUGUUUUGGAUCGCCUCCGACUGGCCUAUUGGGACUCUGGGUG
rnacentral:misc_RNA from 1 species